ensembl:lncRNA
GGGGGUUGGGGGGCACUGAUGGACUGCGUUGGUGGACUGGGAAGCACUGGGCUGGGAAGUGAUGGAGUGGGAAUCGAUGGGAUGGGAAGAACUGGGCUGGCAUCAAUGGGCUGGCAGUGGUGGACUGGGAAUCAAUGGGUUGGCCAUCAAUGGGCUGGCAUUGGUGGACUGGGCAUCAAUGGGCUGGAAGUGAUGGAGUGGGCAUCCAUGGGCUGGAAGUGGUGGACUGGGAUGAACUGGGCUGGCAUCAAUGGGCUGGAAGUGGUGGAGUAGGCAUCAGUGAGCUGGACGUGAUGGACUGGGAAUCAAUGGGUUGGCCAUCCAUGGGCUGGCAGUGGUGAACUGGGAUGAACUGGGCUGGCAUCAAUGGGAUGGCAUUGGUGGACUGGGAAUCAAUGGGCUGGAAGUGAUGGAGUGGGCAUCCUUGGGCUGGCAGUGGUGAACUGGGAAUCAAUGGGUUGGCCAUCAAUGGGCUGGCAGUGGUGGACUGGGAAGAACUGGGCUGGGAACUGAUGGACAGGGCAUCCAUGGGCUGACAUUGGUGGAAUGGGAAUCAAUGGGUUGGCCAUCAAUGGGCUGGCAUUGGUGGACUGGGCAUCAAUGGAGUGGGCAUCCAUGGGCUGGAAGUGGUGAACUGGGAUGAACUGGGCUGGCAUCAGUGGGCUGGCAGUGGUGGACUGGGAAUCAGUGGGCUGGAAGUGAUGGAGUGGGCAUCCAUGGGCUGGCAGUUGUGGACUGGGAAUCAAUGGGCUGGAAGUGAUGGAGUGGGUAUCAAUAGACUGGGAAGAACUGGGCUGAGCAGUGAUGAGUGGGCAUCCAUGGGCUGGCCAUCAAUGGGCUGGCAGUGGUGGACUGGGCAUCAAUGGGCUGGAAGUGAUGGAGUGGGCAUCCAUGGGCUGGCAGUGGUGGAGUGGGAAGAACUGGGCUGGGAACUGAUGGAGUGGGCAUCCAUGGGCUGGCAGUGAUGGAGUGGGCAUCAAUGGGCUGGAAGUGGUGGACUGGGAAGAACUGGGCUGGCAAUGAUGGAGUGGGCAUCUAUGGGUUGGCCAUCAAUGGGCUGGCAGUGGUGAACUGGGAAUCAAUGGGCUGGAAGUGAUGGAG